CAGUAUUGACUGCUUUGUAGUCUUACUCACACUCAACCACUGUGCAUUGUUUCGUGGCGUUCGCGUCACCACACUUUCACCACUGAUUGAGUAACACAUACAUAAAAUACGCAUA
rnacentral:misc_RNA from 1 species